CCUACGGGGGGCAGCAGUAGGGAAUAUUGGACAAUGGGUGCGAGCCUGAUCCAGCCAUGCCGCGUGCAGGAAGAAGGCGUUAUGCGUUGUAAACUGCUUUUGCCAGGGGAUAAAAUAACUGUGCGCAGUUGAUUGAAGGUACCUGGUGAAUAAGCCACGGCUAACUACGUGCCAGCAGCCGCGGUAAUACGUAGGUGGCAAGGGUUGUCUGGGUUUAUUGGGUUUAAAGGGUGCCUAGUCGGCCAGGUGUGAAAUAUCUCAGCUUAACUGAGAGGGUGCCAUUGAUACUGCGGGGCUUGAGUACAGAUGAGGUAGGCGGAAUUGACGGUGUAGCGGUGAAAUGCAUAGAUAUCGUCAAGAACACCGAUAGCGAAGGCAGCUUACCAAGCUGUAACUGACGCUGAGGCACGAAAGUGUGGGGAUCAAACAGGAUUAGAUACCCUUGUAGUC
rnacentral:rRNA from 1 species